ACUAAACGGCGCACAUAGGAGCAUUUACCCUCAAAAACCGGACAAAAUUGAAAAUUACAAAAUUCAACGAUGAUCAAAUGAAUGACCUUCAGGCCGCUAUAUUGCCACACAAGUAGUCGAAACCUAGACUUCGUUCAGAACGCACAUGAUUAUUCGCGAAACUCUCCAUUGUUCUCGAGAUUGUAAGUGGUUUUUUUUUAUGCGUGAACGGAAUUCUUGGAAAUAUUUGUUAUGGAUUCAGGACAGCAUGGUUCAAAAUCAAAAGUUAUAGAGAUGUCUCGAAAAACAUUAUAUAUGCCUUGUAGGGAAAGCGCUGCGAGAAAAUGGGAAGAUAAAACGUCAUAUAUGGAAAAAAAGCUUCAAGAAAUGAUGAAGUGUCCAGAAGGCGAAUUUCAAACUUUAAGUAAUG